rnacentral:rRNA from 1 species
AAUCGAACCUGGAGAUAGCUGGUUCUCUCCGAAAUAGCUUUAGGGCUAGCCUCAAGUGAUGAUUAUUGGAGGUAGAGCACUGUUUGGACGAGGGGCCCCUCUCGGGUUACCGAAUUCAGACAAACUCCGAAUGCCAAUUAAUUUAACUUGGGAGUCAGAACAUGGGUGAUAAGGUCCGUGUUCGAAAGGGAAACAGCCCAGACCACCAGCUAAGGUCCCAAAAUAUAUGUUAAGUGGAAAAGGAUGUGGCGUUGCCCAGACAACUAGGAUGUUGGCUUAGAAGCAGCCAUCAUUUAAAGAGUGCGUAAUAGCUCACUAGUCGAGUGACACUGCGCCGAAAAUGUACCGGGGCUAAACAUAUUACCGAAGCUGUGGAUUGUCCUUUGGACAAUGGUAGGAGAGCGUUCUAAGGGCGUUGAAGCAUGAUCGUAAGGACAUGUGGAGCGCUUAGAAGUGAGAAUGCCGGUGUGAGUAGCGAAAGACGGGUGAGAAUCCCGUCCACCGAUUGACUAAGGUUUCCAGAGGAAGGCUCGUCCGCUCUGGGUUAGUCGGGUCCUAAGCUGAGGCCGACAGGCGUAGGCGAUGGAUAACAGGUUGAUAUUCCUGUACCACCUAUAAUCGUUUUAAUCGAUGGGGGGACGCAGUAGGAUAGGCGAAGCGUGCGAUUGGAUUGCACGUCUAAGCAGUAAGG